rnacentral:rRNA from 1 species
AUGCGUUUGAUCAAGCGUCACUCAGCCUUCCACUAUCAGCCGUUUGGACACAAUCAUCUUAUAUUCUUGCCCGAGGUUGAUCUGUCAGUUGAAGCCAUUUACCCAGAGCCUGCUAAGGAUCCCAUUUAUCUUCACAAUGCUAAUCACCAAAGCUUCACCCAGCCCAUUGAAGGAAUUCCAGCAAUGUCUCAUGUUUAUCCCCUUGCUGGAAACACACAUGCCCCUCGUUCUCAAACUGAUGCCACUGGUAGCACCAUUGCGCAAAGGCCUCAAAGAAAAUCUUGUGUCCUCAAUGACCGAGAGUUUCUCGUCGCGCUGCAUCAGAAACAGGACAAACAUCACGACUGGCUUAAGCGUCAGAUGCAAAGCCUCUUGGUGGAUGUCAACCGCAUUCGCAAUCUUGCCACCAAGAAUGCCUUUGUCACUCAUGAAACCUGUCGGAGGUCGCGGAAGAAUUUGACCCUACUGAGUGUUGAAGCUGAUCUGCACGACGAUGGCUUCACCGAACGCUUCAAGUUUGACUCAACUCCUCUCAGGAAUGCUCACUUGUAUCGGACUCCCUCACUUGAAGACUCUGAAUACUCGUCCUCAGCUACGACCGUCAAUGCUAGAGUCAUCGAUGACCAAGAUGAUGCAACUUCACCUCCUCCAACUUUAGUGCUUGACGACACUGCACCAAGUUCCUCUGCACCACCGGAUCUCACCGACGACCCUGCUGCCUCGCCUGCACCUCAUGGGAACGAGUAG